GGGGGCGUACAGGUUUCGACGGGGAUUUGGAGUCAUUAGUAGCGAGUCAUGUUUUGCUUGGUAGCAUGUAAAAAACUGGGCAAUAAAUAUAAACGCAAACGAUAAUUACGCUUUAGCAGCUUAAUAAAAGCUGCUCGUUUCUACUAAGUAACCCGCAGCUUAGUAUGAAAUGUCAACUUGGCGGGGAACGUCUUAAGGGGUGCCUUGACCUUAAGUUGUAUAAUUAGGGCUGGUCAAAUCUGUAGUCUGUUGUUGGACGACAGAGGCGACGAGAAUUAAAACAACAACUACACUCGUAGAAGCUAGUGAUAAAGGAUCUUCGGACAGGGGUUCGAUUCCCCUCGCCUCCACCA
rnacentral:tmRNA from 1 species